CACAGAUGAGUUUCCAAGAAGGCGUGUAAAGAAGAUUCUUCCUGAUGAAGACCAUGUUUCGAUCUCAUCAAGGUUGUAACUAGCGAAGAACAAUUCAGAGCUGAAGGAAAAAUUUACUCCUCAUUUUGUAGAGCCAGAUGUUGAAAUGGACACACAUCACUGGAUGGAGGUAGCAAAUAUGUGCAAAGAAUGUUACUUGGUUGUCAAGCGGUAGCUGGUAGAACAAGCAUGAAGCGUUGUGCUGGAUCAACUCAAUUGUUUUAUCAAAGG